rnacentral:lncRNA from 1 species
AGACGCAAAGUAAAAUUUUUUAUAUACGUAAAUCAGUAAGUCACCAAACUUUAAAAACUGCAGCAUUAAUUAUAGUAAGAUUUCUUCCUAAUCACCCGUGAAAGAAGUUAACACGAACUGUUUGCUAGUAUAGCUAUACAAAUAUGGGAUCGCAGUAAUUGGCGCAAGCUGUUGCGAUUGCCUUGCCAGUUUUUUGUGUUAACGUUGUUUAAAUCUGGCAAAGUUAAUAAAUAAAUAAAUAUAGAAUAUGUUUCUAUAUAGAAACAGAGUCACAUUAAAAAAGAUUGCCAAUAAUAAAACAUUAAUUAAAAUAGUAAAAAAACUUUCAAUAUAAUUUUUGUCAAUACUGCACUUCCUCUAUUUAGCCCCCCCCCCAUCCCGCUGGGAGCAUACUUGAAGGGGAGGCGGGCUAGAUAGAUGGAGGUGGAUAAGAUGUUGUGAAGCUUAGAUUUUGUUCGUUUACUGUAAAUGCGUCUGUUCCCC